rnacentral:lncRNA from 1 species
CACAGAGGAGAGAGCCCACGCAGGGCGCAUUGUGUCGAGAUCAGCCCCUAGCGACGGUGUUAUAAGGAAUUCAAAACGAAGCACCCCUCUUCGCAAAAAUAUUGCUCGUGACAGGCGUUGCAUGCGCAAUGAACGGUUUUGCUGUUGAUUCCAAGUAGCCUACAGUAUAAAAUGAGUCCGCGUCAUUCCCUGACAUCUUCCUUCGAGAGAGGGCUGGAAUCUCAGGAUCAUCAAAGCGUGGGAUCAGGAUCGAUUGACAGAAGCAGGGCAGAGGAAUUCUAACGCUGGAAAUUCAGUGCAGAAGGACUCCUGUAAUGGUGUAUCUCCAUUAAAAAUGAUAUAAAGCCGUACAUUCAAGUAAUUCAGGAACACCAUUGGAACAUUGCUGGAAACACGUCUUUAUCUCUCCCCUGCGAACAGGUUGGGUUGGAGGGGAUGUGAGGCUGCGGUGCUGAAAGACACACACUAGUAGGCCUAUGGACUAUCCUGUUAGUCACUUGAUUGAGUCACAGGUUUCUAAAUGGGUCCUUUCCACCCCUGUAUGAGGGGAUGAGUGAUGGUAAUGAUGAAGGAGACAAUGAUGUUGGUGCUCUGGUUUCCUCCAUGUCUCCAUCUCUCUUUCUCCUCCCCCAUCUUACCCUCUGUCUUCCAUUAUUCUUUUCUGGCACAGCUUCACAUGGUUCUGCAUGGUUGUUUCUCCUGUCCCCGGGCACCGCUGUGCUGUGCAGUGAGCAGUGCUGGCUCUCAGACCCCGCGUCAUUUGGUAAAAUGCAGGAGAAAAUGCCAGCUUCUUCUCAAGGCACAAUACACAACCUGACUGACUCACUUGAAUGAGAUGAAUGAAUGACGAGCUGGUUGACUCUCCAACACUGAAUGAGAUGAAUGAAUGACGAGCUGGUUGACUCUCCAACACUGAAUGAGAUGAAUGAAUGACGAGCUGGUUGACUCUCCAACACUGAAUGAGAUGAAUGAAUGACGAGCUGGUUGACUCUCCAACACUGAAUGAGAUGAAUGAAUGACGAGCUGGUUGACUCUCCAACACUGAAUGAGGGUCAUAGUAAAGAUGAUGCAGACUAAGUGCCAACCCUGCAUCAUACUUAUUGAGACAGACU